AACGAAGAACUUUGACUUCUUUAUUGUGGGUUCGAUUCCCAUUUCUUUAG
rnacentral:tRNA from 1 species